AUGACGGCCCUUCGCGGCGCCCCUUCCUCCGGCGCCUCUGCCAAGGAGCUGGGGGCGGGAGCCGCGCGCCCAGCCCGCGGCCCAGAUGGCAGAGCAGCCCCGAGCGGGGACAUUUUCUCAGGCUUUCAAAAAGAGCACUUUCUUUCCUGCCUAAUAUUUAGCUCCUUCAAAUGCAAAUGGAGAGGUUGCGCUCCAAGGAGACUUUUUCCAAACUUUCUUCCCGGGGCCAUCCUCUCACCUGUCAUACAACGAAAAGUGAAUUCUUGUUACCGGAAAGGGGCUCAAUCCAGACCCCAAGAGAAGGUUCUUGGAUCUCACACAAGAAAGUAUUCCAGUAUGGGUACAGUUGAGCUGAAAUGCCUGUUCUAACAAAGAGAGCCUGGGUAAGUGUACAUGCUCCAUUGCCUGACAGGUAUAAAGUAGUCAUUUUCAACUUCAGUGUGCAGCAGAAUCACUUGAAGAACUUCUAGCCUAAAAGAAUCAAAGAACUGUAUAAUUUCGAGAGAACACAAGAUGCCAAAAUUUUCCUAGUGUGGAUGGCUCAAU
rnacentral:lncRNA from 1 species